AUGUGAUGAAUCAAUAUGGCGGACGGUUUGCUUUCGUUGAUUGCCAAUGGUAGUAACGCCUUAUUUCUAGGGAUGGUCAAGAUUUUGUAAAGGAAAUGUGUGCAGAAAUGAUGGAUGUUAGUCGAGAUGAAGCCAAGCGGAUUCUCAGGAGGCUUGAGCUAGAGGCAUAUUCAUCCAUCAUCAGUGCUUUCAGGGCCCAGGGAGAGUUAAGUCGGGCUAAAAAGAAGAUCUUGCAAGAUCUUGGAACUCAGCUGAGUAUUUCAACCGAGCGUCACAGGGCUGAAGUCCGAAGAGCCUACAGUGAUGAUAGACUUGGCAUUGUGGCUGAGAGUAUUUAUGGUGCAGGCAGCUGUGCAGAAUGGGCAGCAGAGGGGAGAAGGCUUGUACCACUCAUGCCACGCCUUGUUCCACAAACAGUGUUCAGCUCCUCAGCAACUGCUGCUGCAAAUUCUGCAGCUGCAGCAAAUGCUAAACUUCCUGUUUCAUCAGCUAAUAAAGCUGGUAGUAGUUCAAGUGCAUCUGUUAACACAUCAUCUUCACUGACAAGCCAGCAAAAUAGUAAGACCACGGCAGCCGUAAAACAACCUCAGACAGGUGGAACUCCAUCAAAUGAUGCUGAUGCUUAUGAUGAUGAUGAUGGAAAGCCAAAGAGAAAAAGACGUUUAAGCGUGACGAGCCUCAACAAGCCAGUUACAAAAGUGACCAUCCCCACCCCCUCCCUGGUGUCAAAAGCUUUCACCAAACAGACCACAUCAGUGAGCACUAUGACUAAGUCUGGUAAAUCUCUUGGUCCAGCAGGGACAAUCAAAGCUGUCCCACGUACCACAAAUCUUCCUGCAUCAGCAGCACAAGUAAAACUACUCACCAAGACGGUGGCAGUGUCCCAAACCAAGACAAUCCUGAGCUAUAAGGCAAUGACAUCGACAACAUCAUCACCUGCAAAAGUCCAAACAGCUGUGACACAGUCGUCACCAAAGACUCAAACAAAAACUGCAUCUGGAGUGCCCCCCAAGACAGUGCUUACUUCAAAAGCUCCAUUGUCCACUGCAGUGAAGAAUGUCUCGACAGGAGCUUCAAGUCCAGUAGCCACUGCGAGUCCUGCUGGACUGACACUCAAAACUGGUUUGACAGCAGCUCAGUUAGCGGCAAGACACAAAGUGAAACCUGCAGCUGCCAGAUUCAAACCUCUUCCAGGAACUGUGAAGUUCAAGUCAGUCACACCAGCUACUAUGGGAACCUGUUCCACUGUUACUAUGGUAACACCCAGUCCUAGUUCUCAAGCCUCCUCUACCUUACCUGUGUCAAACACACAGCCAGUUGUCCGUGUCAUUCAUGUUCCAGGAACUGGAGGUGUUGGUGGGAGUAAACCUGUUGUUGUCAUGACAACAGGUCUCAGUAAAACAACUGUCGCUGGUGUGGUUCCUGGAAGCAGUAGUCCUUCUAGUCUUACAAAGGCAACUUCUCAGGUGGUAACUCAAAGCACCUCAGUGAACAAAGCAGUAGUCACAACUGCUGGCACAGUCACAUCCCAAGCUCCAUCAAAAACUCAAGUGUCUAGUGCUGUUACUCAGUCAGUUUCGUCAGCAUCCAAAACAGUUGUUAUGACAACCUUAGUAGGUGGUGCAAAGAGAGUGGUUCUGUCUGUGCCAGCCCCUUUACAACCUGGUUCCAAUAUCGUUCCAUCCACAUCCUCUCAGGGGCUAGUGAUAACCAAGACACAAGGGAUCCCUCUGACUUCCUCAUCAGCCUCUCACUCUCAACCUGUUUCCAAGAAAGAUGCCAAAACAUCACCAGCAUUAGCCACUGUCUGUCCUAAAUCAUCUCCAACACAGAUCGCACCCAGUCUGACAACUGCAACUGUCACUACACAGGUGAGAUCAAGACCCCUCCCUACUAUUCUUCCUGCUCCUCCAAAACCAUCAACUGUGGCUCCAACUGCUGUUUCCAAUUCGGGCAACAUUAGGAAGCUUCCAACUAUCUUACCAGCGCCAGUUAAGAAUGUUCCAGCUGUUAUUCCAACUGUUCUGGUUCCUGUGGCUACUGGAGUAACUGCUCACACUGCAUCACAGCUGCAGUCUUCAGUGCCAAUAGCUGUAAAUACAGCUGUCUCUCAGGGUGUAGCAGCUUCAGUUUUGCCUCCUGACAAAGAAGGGGAGCAGCCCUCCCCUGGAGUACCAGAAAGACAAGAUUGUGGUCUUGAUUCUACAGAUCAGAGUAAUGCAACCAUUGAAUCGCAAUGUUCAGACAUAAUGGAAAACUCUAAGACACACGUUGCAGUGAGCUCUAAAUUGGCAGUGACAAAUGAAAAAAACGUUGUGACUGAAUGUGAUAACAAUACGUCAUCAGAGGAUGAUUCUCUUCUAAUUUGUUCUGAAACAAUUGACAAUGCAGGCUGCAACAUACCUGAGGUACCAUCAGCUGCGGAGUUUUUCAAAAAUAUUGCUGAAAGCAAACCUGUUAAAAAUCCAGCAGAUAAUGGUGCUGAGGAAAUGCCACAAACUGUGGAAGACUGCCAAGAAGCAGCUGUAGAUCCAGUAUCUUUACAAGAUGGUGGAGUCUCUCUCCUGGAUAUAGAUGGAUCAAAUGUGCAGAAAGUACCAACUAAAGACAUAGAGACAGCAGGAAAUUACGCUAAGAAAUCCAUGGAAAAUGUUACUGUUCAAAGAUUGGAUGAUUCUAGUGGAAUAUCUGAUUUAGUAAAAGAUUGUUUACCUGGAAAUAUAUAUUCAGAGUCUUCACAAGUGGAUAAUGAGGAUGAGAAUUCUUUUAAAUUUGACUUGGAGUCAGACGUUCAGUCAUCACUUCAAGGUGUUCAGGAAGAUGAUCAAAAUGUGACUGGGACAUCUGCAGAGGAUGGGCCUCCUGUGGAAAAUGCCCUUCAAAUAAUUGCAAGCUUUGUGGAAAGCAUGGAAGGAAGUUCAUUUGAAAAACAUGAAGAAGUAAAACAUACAACAACAAAUGAUCAUCAGCUUGAUGAUUCAUCAGGAUUUUUAAGUGAAUUACCAUCCUCUAGUCAGGAAACCCCCAUUCUUGUUCCUAGUGCAUUUACAUUGGAGGAAAAAACAAAAGACGCAACUGAACCAUCACCUACUGUGUCACACUCUGGAAAGAUCAUUGAUGAAGGACAAAGCCUGAGUGUUUUGUCACAAUCUGAAGAUGAUAGUUGGGAUGUUUCUGACGCACCCAUUGAUGUUUUGUCAACAUCCACAAGUAGUUCUAACAGUAUCCCUGAAAGCACAUUGGAGCUUACAGAGAAGGAAAUGAAGGCUCUUGAGGCUUUUGGUAGUGUUAGAACCAGUGGAAGGAAGAGAAAACCUCCUUCAUCUCUUGAUGUGUCACCACCAAGACAAAUUAGUGGCUGGGUGCGUGGUGCUCUCAGAUAUUAACUGAUCCUGAUAAAGCUAUGGUGACAUUUCCUCAGCCUCCUGCAGAAAGUUGCCAGCUAUCGUGGCCAAGGAAGACGGAAAGGUGAUUUCAGUGCUGCCACUUGGUUCCUCAAACCAGUGGACCCAGUUGAUGCACCUGGCUACUACAAAGUAAUAAAAACUCCCAUGGAUUUUGGAACGG
rnacentral:misc_RNA from 1 species